CGGACAUUCAACCUUUAUGCGUUUGAAAACUUGUGAAAGUCGAAACAUCACUUUAGCCCUUGCACUGUUCCUCUUAAGGAAAGUGCCUGCCUAUAGCGGGGGUGUGGAAGUUUUCGGCACUACCCCUUGUACUGUUCCUCUUAAGGAAGGUGGCUGCCCAUGGAGUAGGGGUGUGGAAGUCUUAAGCCGCUGAGCUCUCUCUUCCCAGCUAUGCACAACCACUCUCCUUCUCAACGAAACCACUGUUCACGGCCUUGUGUUGAAGCUAGGACCCAACAAGAAUCAUCACUGACUGAUGCUGAGGGAUUGGACAGCGAGACCAUGACUGAUACUGACGGAUUGAACGGCCAGACCAUGCCAUCAAAGGCCUGUGGCUUGUGGCUUGGUAUAGGGAAAAAAGAACUCACAAAAAAAAGGCAAAGAAAAAGAUAAGUCA